GGGGCGCAGUAAGGGUAAGAAAGGACGAGUAUGAACUUGCCGAGAGCCGACUCUUUACACGAUGGAGGGAACGGCACGACGUUCGCGUAGAUUCGUGCAAGACUGAACGGAUCAGGGGAAUCAGAGCGUCAGAGCAGUGAGAAAAGGACUUCGAUCGCGUCAUAAUUUUGGACCACGAAGCGGAUUUUCAACGAAGCGGCAAAUGAAGAACCAAGAUCGACGCGGGCGACGAGCUUGUAAGACGACCGGUUUAGCCGAGAGGAAAAAGUAUCGACCCAGAAAAUCGACCCGGCUUUAACGGUGUAUUCUCGUAAUCAGUUUACUCGAGAUCUGUCGCAGUGUUACGAUAUAUGCUUUACUGUACACACGUGUUUGCGUCGUGCGCAAACGCACGUGAUACGAAAUACGUUAUAUGAAAUCGCGAAUUCGCCGAUGACCCAGUUAUUUUACUAACUACACUUUGAUUAGACAGAGUUUGUGAUUAAAAACAUAAAUUAAAAAAAAAAUUAUAUAUCUUUAAAAAAAACUUCUUUUAAAUGAUAUAGUAAAAAGUAUAAGCAAAGACUAUGCAGAAAUAAGAGUCGCAAUGAAUUAAAAGUCACGUUUUUUUCUUACAAUUAGCAAAAACAUGGCUUUACCUACUUUUAGAAUUAUGUAAUUAAUUCUUAUCCUUUUAAUCAAAACUUUUAUUUAUAUAUUUAAAUUGCACGAAUUCUGAUAAUGUGAGUAAUCAAUAUUCCCGAUAUACGUCAAUCGAAUUUUAUAAUACUUUGCUGAUAUUAUUAAUUUUUUUUUUUGCAACCUGUCUAAAAGCGUUUUCAAAAACCAGUUCUUUAAGCAUAAGCUUCAUGCACACACACAUUUACUCACGAGACAUAAACGCAGGAUUGCCGAGCCGCCGGUAUGUUAAUCUCGCUGCUCUUAAUCUUGGCGAGAUGCGAAAUCCCCGGGUGGCGUAAAUUAAUUGAAGUUAAUUAAGCGAGCAGAGAGCAGAGAACUGCGAUGCGUUUCGCAGAGAUCAUCUUAGAAAAGCCGUUGUCACUUUUCGCCGACGACAAGAGCACGGGCUUUUCCAACGAGAAAAUGUCGAUUUCCCGCGACGGGCAAAAAGAGAGGAGAAGAAAAAAAAUGAAAUUAAUCUCUAAGACAUUUCGUCCCAUUCUCUGUCCAUGUAGUUAAUCCGUGCGCGUACUGGCAGGCGAAACUUCCCUGCAACGAUGUUCUGGAGAUAUCCCCGACGAAUCAGAAACGCAAUUUCGGUUAUCGUCCUUCACGGAAAUUCCUUCGCGUGCACGAACGGAUGCGAACUUUAUGAAAUUUCCUCGGUGGAAAAGCGAUGAUGCUUACACAGAAUUAUAGCUUCCAGCUCGCCCAAGCAAGUAUAAGAGUAAAUAACCGAUCGAUACCUCUUUACUUGAAAAUAUUGAAAUUCGAACAAAAGAAAAUAUUGUACAUAUUACACAU